GUCGGUCAUGUUUUUACGCUUAGUGCUGGAAAAGUUAGCCUUUACCAGUGCUUAUUUUCGACAGUUCGGUCAGUUUAUGAAUUCCUUAGUUACUUUUUAGCAAACAUGGACGGAGUUUUCCAACUUUGUUGUCGAAAAAGAACCGCAGAAGGAAGUUUUUCUAUCUUUGAUGGAACCGAGGUGCAAAUCUUCCCUGAGCCUAUUUUGCAGCCGGACUUAAGGAUUUUACACGAUUUUUGGUGAAAACCACGGACAGAAAGAUGGUUUAUCGGAUGCAUUUGUGGAGAAUGGACACGCAUUACUAGAAAGUUCACAAGAAAUUGAGUUUUUCAUUCUUUUUGGCCAAAAUGGCUGAACGGACAUGCCUUCGCAGACGGGACGGAAGGCUUGAGGCCUGAAGUUGAAGGAAAAACAUGAGAAAACAUGGACAAGUGCAAAGGUUGCUGUGACUUGGACAAAGAAAGUGGAAGUUUGAUCAUCAACAAUCUGACGCUAGAUGACAGUUCUUGACAAAAAGGAACUCUGAGUUUUCAAACCGGUUCCAAAACCCACAAUAUCUGUAGACUGCAACAAUGAGAAGACCGCCUGUAAUCUCACCUGUGAAGCCAACAUCACCUCUGAGUUUGGACCUGUCACAUAUAAAUGGGAGAUACAGAGUUGUCCAACGACAAGAAGCUGAGCAUA